rnacentral:rRNA from 1 species
GAUGAACGCUGGCGGCGUGCCUAAUACAUGCAAGUCGAGCGAAUGGAUUGAGAGCUUGCUCUUAUGAAGUUAGCGGCGGACGGGUGAGUAACACGUGGGUAACCUGCCCAUAAGACUGGGAUAACUCCGGGAAACCGGGGCUAAUACCGGAUAACAUUCUGAACCGCAUGGUUCGAAAUUGAAAGGCGGCUUCGGCUGUCACUUAUGGAUGGACCCGCGUCGCAUUAGCUAGUUGGUGAGGUAACGGCUCACCAAGGCAACGAUGCGUAGCCGACCUGGGAGGGUGAUCGGCCACACUGGGACUGAGACACGGCCCAGACUCCUACGGGAGGCAGCAGUAGGGAAUCUUCCGCAAUGGACGAAAGUCUGACGGAGCAACGCCGCGUGAGUGAUGAAGGCUUUCGGGUCGUAAAACUCUGUUGUUAGGGAAGAACAAGUGCUAGUUGAAUAAGCUGGCACCUUGACGGUACCUAACCAGAAAGCCACGGCUAACUACGUGCCAGCCGCCGCCGCGG